rnacentral:rRNA from 1 species
AUAUUGGACAAUGGGCGAAAGCCUGAUCCAGCGACGCCGCGUGGGUGAAGAAGGCCUGCGGGUUGUAAAGCCCUUUCAGUGGGGAAGAAAAGCCUCGACCUAACACGUCGGGGUCUUGACGUAACCCAUAGAAGAAGCACCGGCUAACUCUGUGCCAGCAGCCGCGGUAAUACAGAGGGUGCGAGCGUUAAUCGGAAUUACUGGGCGUAAAGCGCGCGUAGGCGGUUUUGCAAGUCGGGUGUGAAAUCCCCAAGCUUAACUUGGGAACUGCAUCCGAGACUGCAUGGCUAGAGUAUGGGAGAGAGAAGUGGAAUUUCCGGUGUAGCGGUGAAAUGCGUAGAUAUCGGAAGGAACAUCAGUGGCGAAAGCGACUUCUUGGACCAAUACUGACGCUCAAGUGCGAAAGCGUGGGGAGCAAACAGG